rnacentral:SRP_RNA from 1 species
GCUGGGCAUGGUGGCGCACGCCUGUAAUCCCAGCAACUCGGGAGGCUGAGACUGGAGGAUCGCGAGGCAAAUACCUUCCCGAGUUAACUACAUUAGUAUCAU